CAUUCACGGAGAGUUUUGAUCCUGGCUCAGGACGAACGCUGGCGGCGUGCUUAACNCAUGCAAGUCGAACGAUGAAGCCCUUGGGGUGAUUAGUGGCGAACGGGUGAGUAAC
rnacentral:rRNA from 1 species